AACAAGCUUGCUUGUUGGGGUUGUAGGACACUCUAUACGGAGUUACAAAGGACGACAUUAGACGAAUCAUCUGGAAAGAUGAAUCAAAGAAGGUAAUAAUCCUGUAGUCGAAAAUGUUGUCUCUCUUGAGUGGAUCCUGAGUACGACGGAGCACGUGAAAUUCCGUCGGAAUCUGGGAGGACCAUCUCCUAAGGCUAAAUACUCUCUAGUGACCGAUAGUGAACCAGUACCGUGAGGGAAAGGUGAAAAGCACCCCGGAAGGGGAGUGAAAUAGAACCUGAAACCGUGUGCUUACAAGUAGUCAGAGCCCGUUAAUGGGUGAUGGCGUGCCUUUUGUAGAAUGAACCGGCGAGUUACGAUUUGAUGCAAGGUUAAGCAGUAAAUGUGGAGCCGUAGCGAAAGCGAGUCUGAAUAGGGCGUUUAGUAUUUGGUCGUAGACCCGAAACCAGGUGAUCUACCCUUGGUCAGGUUGAAGUUCAGGUAACACUGAAUGGAGGACCGAACCGACUUACGUUGAAAAGUGAGCGGAUGAACUGAGGGUAGCGGAGAAAUUCCAAUCGAACCUGGAGAUAGCUGGUUCUCUCCGAAAUAGCUUUAGGGCUAGCCUCAAGUGAUGAUUAUUGGAGGUAGAGCACUGUUUGGACGAGGGGCCCCUCUCGGGUUACCGAAUUCAGACAAACUCCGAAUGCCAAUUAAUUUAACUUGGGAGUCAGAACAUGGGUGAUAAGGUCCGUGUUCGAAAGGGAAACAGCCCAGACCACCAGCUAAGGUCCCAAAAUAUAUGUUAAGUGGAAAAGGAUGUGGCGUUGCCCAGACAACUAGGAUGUUGGCUUAGAAGCAGCCAUCAUUUAAAGAGUGCGUAAUAGCUCACUAGUCGAGUGACACUGCGCCGAAAAUGUACCGGGGCUAAACAUAUUACCGAAGCUGUGGAUUGUCCUUUGGACAAUGGUAGGAGAGCGUUCUAAGGGCGUUGAAGCAUGAUCGCAAGGACAUGUGGAGCGCUUAGAAGUGAGAAUGCCGGUGUGAGUAGCGAAAGACGGGUGAGAAUCCCGUCCACCGAUUGACUAAGGUUUCCAGAGGAAGGCUCGUCCGCUCUGGGUUAGUCGGGUCCUAAGCUGAGGCCGACAGGCGUAGGCGAUGGAUAACAGGUUGAUAUUCCUGUACCACCUAUAAUCGUUUUAAUCGAUGGGGGGACGCAGUAGGAUAGGCGAAGCGUGCGAUUGGAUUGCACGUCUAAGCAGUAAGGCUGAGUAUUAGGCAAAUCCGGUACUCGUUAAGGCUGAGCUGUGAUGGGGAGAAGACAUUGUGUCUUCG
rnacentral:rRNA from 1 species